UUCUGGCAUGAAUUAUGGCCUUACUCUUUUCCAUCUAUUGAUUUUGCUUACUGCUCUGUCUUUUCGUUGGGUCAUUGUUUUUUUCCUUCCUUGUAGCAUCUCUUCUCAUGUUCGGUGUCAUUCUGGAUGGAUUUUGAUGAAAUAAACUUCAGCAGGCCUAACCAAUCCUCAGGUUUAAAAUGAACUGAAAGAGUUAUCUUGUAUAAAAACUGAGCUCAACCUGUGAACCAUCAUUAUCCAAUUAUCACUGCAAAUUGAACCUCACCUUUAUAUGGCUUGAGUUUGUUGCAAUAGAUAAUAGUUUGAGGUUGAUCUCAUAACUUAUCUCUUCAAUAUAUUGUGUUCUGUUCUCCAUGUUGAAUAAAUUAUAUUACUGCUGACCUUUUGAUCCCUUUUUAUUUGUCUUCUAACAUGAGAUUCAAGGUAUGCAUCUGCUGUUUGAUAUGUUAUAUAAGUACCACGUUAGACUGGAAGUGCAUACAAUCAAAUUUGAUUGGUUUAAGCAACCCUAUUGAGCUCUUCCUAUUCCCUCAAAUUUGACCGUUUUGAUGCUUAAGCAUUGCAUACCCAAAACCCAGAGUCUGUUUCACGUUGACUAGAUUGUUCAAAGCAUUGCUUUUGGCUUGACUGCUUUCAUCCUCGCUUUACUCAUUCAGUUAUAUCAUUUAUUACUGUGUAGCCUUAGAUGUACAGGGGAAAACAAAGAGAUAAAGAUAGGUCUGCAUUCAUUGUUGUAUCUUAGAGCAUAGAUAUGAUCUUUGUGUUUCUAUAUGAAGAGGAUCUCUUUGAGAUA